rnacentral:rRNA from 1 species
UGGGGAAUUUUGGACAAUGGACGCAAGUCUGAUCCAGCCAUGCCGCGUGUGGGAAGAAGGCCUUCGGGUUGUAAACCGCUUUUGUCAGGGAAGAAACGAGUUUCUCUAAUACAGAGACUUAAUGACGGUACCUGAAGAAUAAGCACCGGCUAACUACGUGCCAGCAGCCGCGGUAAUACGUAGGGUGCAAGCGUUGAUCGGAAUUACUGGGCGUAAAGCGUGCGCAGGCGGUUAUGUAAGACAGAUGUGAAAUCCCCGGGCUCAACCUGGGACCUGCAUUUGUGACUGCAUAGCUAGAGUACGGCAGAGGGGGAUGGAAUUCCGCGUGUAGCAGUGAAAUGCGUAGAUAUGCGGAGGAACACCGAUGGCGAAGGCAAUCCCCUGGGCCUGUACUGACGCUCAUGCACGAAAGCGUGGGGAGCAAACA